rnacentral:lncRNA from 1 species
AUGGGGACUUCCCGGGGCGGGACUGACUGCGGUCCCCCAAGCCCUCUGUGUCCCCAGUGGCUCCCGCGUCCCUCAGCAGAGCGGGGCAGGAGGUGUCCAUGGCGGCUCCUGGACCAAGGUGAGAAGGCUGUCAGGUGGGACAGGUGCUGUCUGCACGGGGGAGGGAGAAAGGGUUGUUACUGUGAGAUUCAGCCUGCGGGGGACUUUCAUCUGUGGGGCCUCAGUGUGCAGGGGAGGUGCAGUGGCAGUGCGGGCCCCUCUGUCCUGUGCACAGGUAACUACUGCCCAGUAAGGGCGGCUCUACAAGGUUUAAGACCCAAAGAAGCCCAGAAACUCGAUCUGCACCAGCAAGAAGACUUCCUGUGGAAGGACCUCUUGAAGGUCUCCCCAUCUUCCACGGGAAGACGGACUCCAAGACUUCCAGCCUCAGAAUCCUUGCCCUAGUGGUCUCCAGGAGUAGAGUGUCCUUCUUCUUCGCUCUCCCAAGGACAGGACCCCGAGCUUCUCUCCCUGCCCCCAGGUCACCACGAGCAUCCACGGGAAGAUGGACUCCGAGACGCCCAGCUCAGUAUCCUCGCCCUUCCUGAAGAGGUGUUGAAUGUACCUCGUCCUCGCUGCCCCCAGACAGGACCCUGUGGCUUCUCUGGCUGCCCCCAGGAGAAACGAUCAACCACCAUGAGAAGGACUCCAACACCCCAUCUUCAGAAUCCUCGCCCUUCCAGAAGAGGUGUUGAAUGUCCCUCAUCCUCACUGCCCCCUGAACAGGACCUCGUGGCUUCUCUGGCUGCCCAGAGGUCACCACGAUCAUCCUAAGGAAAAUGAACUUGGACAUGCCCUGACUCAGAAUCCUCGCCCUUCCCGAAGAGGUGUUGAAUGUCCCUCGUCCUCGCUGCCCCAAGGACAGGACUCUGUGGCUCCUCCGUCCCCGGGGAGCAGCUGCUGCCUGGGAAGAACCUCGUUGCCUCUGUUGCUGCCCAUGGAUUGCCCUGCACUACUGCCUCUGUGCCUGCAAGUUAACUGAUUUAUGAGUUUAAGAGAAAUCCAUUAGGUCAUAAAUUUGUGGCUGGAGAAACAUGAAGGCCUCAGUGUGGGUUCGGGCACCUGUGCUCACACACCGGGGAGGGGAGCGCUGGGAGCCUGAAGGAGGCAGCUUGGAGCUGCACCCAGGGCCUGGGCUGAGUCCUGGCUUCAGUGCCCAAGGCUGGCACUGCCUUGGUUUCCCACCCCCGGGGCUCUGUUUCUGGCUCUGUCAAGGGGGUGUGAGUGACAGGAGCACCUGCCUCCAAGGAAGCCCCCGGAACAGCACCAGACUCCCCUGGCUGCUGGGUAGGGCUGGGUCCUUAGAAGCGAUUAGCUGCCUGGGCGGGGAUCUGGGAGCUGUCAGCCAUCUGUGGGUCCUGGGCCGUGUGGGAGCUGGCUCCUUCCUGUGACCCCACUGGCCUUU